rnacentral:rRNA from 1 species
AGUGAACGCUGGCGGUAGGCCUGACACAUGCAAGUCGAACGGCAGCACAGGAGAGCUUGCUCUCUGGGUGGCGAGUGGCGGACGGGUGAGGAAUGCAUCGGAAUCUACUCUUUCGUGGGGGAUAACGUAGGGAAACUUACGCUAAUACCGCAUACGACCUACGGGUGAAAGCCGGGGACCUUCGGGCCUGGCGCGAAAGAAUGAGCCGAUGCCCGAUUAGCUAGUUGGCGGGGUAAGAGCCCACCAAGGCGACGAUCGGUAGCUGGUCUGAGAGGAUGAUCAGCCACACUGGAACUGAGACACGGUCCAGACUCCUACGGGAGGCAGCAGUGGGGAAUAUUGGACAAUGGGCGCAAGCCUGAUCCAGCCAUACCGCGUGGGUGAAGAAGGCCUUUCGGGUUGUAAAGCCCUUUUGUUGGGAAAGAAAAGCAGUCGGUUAAUACCCGAUUGUUCUGACGUACCCAAAGAAUAAG